rnacentral:rRNA from 1 species
UACGAAGGGGACUAGCGUUGUUCGGAAUCACUGGGCGUAAAGCGCACGUAGGCGGAUAUGUCAGUCAGGGGUGAAAUCCCGGGGCUCAACCUCGGAACUGCCCUUGAUACAGCAUAUCUUGAGUCCGAUAGAGGUGGGUGGAAUUCCUAGUGUAGAGGUGAAAUUCGUAGAUAUUAGGAAGAACACCGGUGGCGAAGGCGGCCCACUGGAUCGGUACUGACGCUGAGGUGCGAAAGCGUGGGGAGCGAACCGG